rnacentral:rRNA from 1 species
UGAACAAGGUUUCCGUAGGUGAACCUGCGGAAGGAUCAUUACAGUAUUCUUUUUGCCAGCGCUUAAUUGCGCGGCGAAAAAACCUUACACACAGUGUUUUUUGUUAUUACAAGAACUCUUGCUUUGGUCUGGACUAGAAAUAGUUUGGGCCAGAGGUUUACUAAACUAAACUUCAAUAUUUAUAUUGAAUUGUUAUUUAUUUUAAUUGUCAAUUUGUUGAUUAAAUUCAAAAAAUCUUCAAAACUUUCAACAACGGAUCUCUUGGUUCUCGCAUCGAUGAAGAACGCAGCGAAAUGCGAUAAGUAAUAUGAAUUGCAGAUUUUCGUGAAUCAUCGAAUCUUUGAACGCACAUUGCGCCCUUUGGUAUUCCAAAGGGCAUGCCUGUUUGAGCGUCAUUUCUCUCUCAAACCUUCGGGUUUGGUAUUGAGUGAUACUCUUAGUCGAACUAGGCGUUUGCUUGAAAUGUAUUGGCAUGAGUGGUACUGGAUAGUGCUAUAUGACUUUCAAUGUAUUAGGUUUAUCCAACUCGUUGAAUAGUUUAAUGGUAUAUUUCUCGGUAUUCUAGGCUCGGCCUUACAAUAUAACAAACAAGUUUGACCUCAAAUCAGGUAGGACUACCCGCUGAACUUAAGCAUAUCAAAA